AUGAACGCUUGCGGCGUGCCUAAUACAUGCAAGUCGAGCGAACAGACGAGGAGCUUGCUCCUCUGACGUUAGCGGCGGACGGGUGAGUAACACGUGGAUAACCUACCUAUAAUACUGGGAUAACUUCGGGAAACCGGAGCUAAUACCGGAUAAUAUAUUGAACCGCAUGGUUCAAUAGUGAAAUACGGUUUUGCUGUCACUUAUAGAUGGAUCCGCGCCGCAUUAGCUAGUUGGUAAGGUAACGGCUUACCAAGGCGACGAUGCGUAGCCGACCUGAGAGGGUGAUCGGCCACACUGGAACUGAGACACGGUCCAGACUCCUACGGGAGGCAGCAGUAGGGAAUCUUCCGCAAUGGGCGAAAGCCUGACGGAGCAACGCCGCGUGAGUGAUGAAGGUCUUCGGAUCGUAAAACUCUGUUAUUAGGGAAGAACAAAUGUGUAAGUAACUAUGCACGUCUUGACGGUACCUAAUCAGAAAGCCACGGCUAACUACGUG
rnacentral:rRNA from 1 species